rnacentral:rRNA from 1 species
UACGGGGGGAGCAAGCGUUGUUCGGAUUUACUGGGCGUAAAGGGCGCGUAGGCGGUCAGCACAAGUCAGUUGUGAAAUCUCCGAGCUUAACUCGGAAAGGUCAACUGAUACUGUGCGACUAGAGUGCGGAAGGGGCAACUGGAAUUCUUGGUGUAGCGGUGAAAUGCGUAGAUAUCGGGAGGAACACCAGUGGCGAAGGCGACUUCCUGGCCUGUUCUUGACGCUGAGGCGCGAAAGCUAGGGGAGCAAACGGG